GAUGAACGCUGACAGAAUGCUUAACACAUGCAAGUCAACUUGAAGCAGUUUCGGCUGUGGAUGGUGGCGGACGGGUGAGUAACGCGUAAAUAACUUGCCCUUUAGACUGGGACAACUGUUGGAAACGACAGCUAAUACCGGAUAUUAUGAAACCUUGGCAUCAAGGGAUUAUGAAAGCUAUAUGCGCUAGAGGAGAGAUUUGCGUCCUAUUAGCUAGUUGGUGAGGUAAUGGCUCACCAAGGCGACGAUAGGUAGCCGGCCUGAGAGGGUGAACGGCCACAAGGGGACUGAGACACGGCCCUUACUCCUACGGGUGGCUG
rnacentral:rRNA from 1 species